CACCACUAGGGGUGCCUGAGGUCGUUCGCGGCCGGAAGGGCUGAGAUCACACCCUCCGAACCUGAUCCGGGUCAUGCCGGCGCCAGGGAAGUGAC
rnacentral:ncRNA from 1 species